AUAAACGCUGGCGGCGUGCCUAAUGCAUGCAAGUCGAACGGCUCCGGAUUUUCCGGGGCAGUGGCAGACGGGUGAGUAACGCGAAAGUGACCUACCCCUGAGUGGGGGAUAACCGGGAGAAAUUCCGGCUAAUACCGCAUGAAGUCGGCCUUUAGGCCGAUGAAAGCCUUCGGGUGCUUGGGGAUGGGCUUGCGUCCGAUUAGCUAGUUGGUGGGGUAAAGGCCUACCAAGGCGACGAUCGGUAGCUGGUCUGAGAGGAUGAUCAGCCACACUGGGAUUGAGAUACGGGCCAGACUCCUACGGGAGGCAGCAGCAAGGGAUAUUGCGCAAUGGGCGAAAGCCUGACACAUCAACGCCGCGUGGGUGAGGAAGGCCUUCGGGUUGUACAGCCCUUUUAUCGGGGAAGAAAGAUGACGGCCCCCGAUGAAUAAGCCUCGGCUAACUACGUGCCAGCAGCCGCGGUAAUACGUAGGAGGCGAGCGUUAUCCGGAUUUACUGGGCGUAAAGAGCGCGUAGGCGGGCUGGGAAGUCCUCUGUGAAAUCUGCCGGCUCAGCCGGGAGGGGACAGGGGAAACUUUCAGUCUUGAGGGCAGAAGGGGGAAGUGGAAUUCCCGGUGUAGUGGUGACAUGCGUAGAUAUCGGGAGGAACACCGGUGGCGAAAGCGGCUUCCUGGGCUGCCCCUGACGCUGAGGCGCGAAAGCGUGGGGAGCAAACGGGAUUAGAUACCCGGGUAGUCCACGCCGUAAACGAUGGCACACUAGGUAUGGGGGGUAUCGACCCCCUCCGUACCGAAGCUAACGCCAUAAGUGUCCCGCCUGGGGAUUACGGCCGCAAGGCUAAAACUCAAAGGAAUUGACGGGGGCCCGCACAAGCAGCGGAGCGUGUGGUUUAAUUCGACGCAACGCGAAGAACCUUACCAAGACUUGACAUGCCCUUGCUACCCCGAGAGAUCGGGUGUUCCUUAGGGACGGGGGCACAGAUGCUGCAUGGCUGUCGUCAUCUCGUGCCGUGAGGUGUUGGGUUAAGUCCUCUAACGAGCGCAACCCCUGUUGCCAGUUGUUCUCUCUGGCGAUACUGCCCCGCAAAACGGGGAGGAAGGUGGGGAUGACGUCAAGUCAGCACGGCUCUUACGUCUUGGCUACACACACGCUACAAUGGGUGGUACAAAGGGUUGCCAAGGAGCAAUCUGGAGCUAAUCCCCAAAAACCAUCCUCAGUUCGGAUUGGAGGCUGAAACCCGCCUCCAUGAAGGAGGAGCUGCUAGUAACCGCAGGUCAGCACACUGCGGUGAAUACGUUCUCGGGCCUUGUACACACCGCCCGUCACGUCAUGAAAGUUGGCAACACCUGAAGUCGAUGAGCCAACCCCUGAGCUUGUCGAAGGGGAAGCAGUCGCCCAAGGUGGGGAUAGUGAUUGGGACGAAGUCGUAACAAGGUAAC
rnacentral:rRNA from 1 species